rnacentral:lncRNA from 1 species
AUUUUAAGGAGAUAGAUUUGUUACAGAUGGGCAGAAGGGAAGCAGACAUUUUCUUUCAUGAACAAGACAUUUUGCUUGCAAAUAAAGAGUGGUUCUCCUUUUUCUGAUGGAAAGAAAAAAGAAGAAAGAAAUACAUAGAACGGCCAAACUGCUGUCACCCACCCAAGGCUUGGCGAAUGCCUCCCGGGACUGGGAGCGAGGUGGCCACACAGCAACCAGCCCUGUGCCCCGGACCACAGAGAGGAGCACUUGGCGGGCCCUGAAUAUGGGCUCUUCAGCGCUCUCAUAAAUCAAACCAGAUUUGCCUGAGAUUGGGCAUGGGAGAGGCCACGCUCAAACAGACCUACUUGAGAGCGUAUUUUCUAGGAUUGAAUCACUGCAGCUUGAACAUAUUCUUAAACGUAAACGUCCAAUUAGACAGAAUCUGCUUUACAUUGUUCUAAUUAGCAACCUGCCAAGCUUGAUUGUUGAUAGGAUAAAUGGGUCAUCUAUGUUUCAUUGAAGUUUUUCUUUUUUUAAUGAGUGGUUGGGGUGGGGUGUGUGUGUUUCACUGUUAUUUUGUUUUUAUUUCUUCAGUGUUUCUGGCAAAGGGUGUUGCCUGCAAAUUGCAAAUGGUUCCCAUCAGCAGACCUCUGCUAAUUUUAGAAGUGUUCUUCAGAGGGACUAUUUAAACAGGUAUCCUGGCAUGAACAGAGUUUUCUGCCCCCAGUCUUUGGAAAGUUUCACAGGCUGGGCACCUCUCCUCCACAGCCAACAAUGAUGUUUUGUGUCUUCAUCCCGGCUAAAGGGCCUGGCACACAAACAGCCCAGCCUAUUCAUUCCUAGAGCAAUUUUACAUAUGCGAGACCGAAGCCAAGAUGAAUGUCUUCUUCCCCGAUGUGCUCAAUUCAACCACAUUCUGUCUAGGAGAUUCUUGCUGUGUGGAAUGGCGUGUCCCAUGCAUGCUCCUGCUUCCUAUACACUGCCUCCUUAGCAUACCCUCGGCUGCAGUCUGGUUCUGUUGCUCAUUCUCUGUGCUCCUUGCUGACAGACAGCGUGUGUUAUGGCAACCAGGAACCAUAAGACUUUUCACAGGUUCAGAACCUUGUCACCCCCUCAGUCUCCCCAAAUCCUACCUCUUUGAUAAAGAGUUGCCAUCUAAAUUGGAAAGGAAGAGAGGGUGAGUGCAUCUUCAGUGUUCUUUGAAUGUCUGAACAGGUGUUAUCCCAAACUCCAUCUUCUUGAGGGGUGGGGUCUUGUUUUUGGGGAUGUAAAGCAAUGGUCUCAUUGGAAGGUACCUGAGUAAGGGGAAAAGCUGGAAAUUCAAAGCCACAGAGUAAAGGCAGAGACCAUCGAGUUGUUCUGAGUUAGAGAAGGCACAGCAGUGGGGCCAGGAUCCUUUGAAGAUCCAAGGAUCCCUGGUUCUGAUACAGGAGAAGGUUGGUGCCUAAUGCUUGUCUGGGCAGAAAAGUCCCAGGAGGGAGGUUGGGGAGACAGGCUCCCAAGCAAUGAAUGGUGCCUGGGCCCAUACACACCUGCAGGGGGCAGAAACAGGAGAUAAUGACUGGACAGGAUUAAGUGCCUACUGUAUACCAAAUACUGUACACACACAUGCAGUAGAGAGAAAUGGAAAAAAGCAUGCAGAAUUCAGACCCAGACCCUGUUCCCCAAUUGCCACUGGUUUACCAAACCAACAAAGGGAAAGGACUCAGAACUGGUCACCUCAAGGCAGUGAGAUGCGCUCAGCGACAUGGGGCUGAACCAUCGUGGAGGCGGUGAGGACUGACCACCACAGGCCUGGGGAGGAAGGGUGGAUCCGGGCAGAGAGCCCCACGAGGCAAAACCAGACUUCAGGUUUAGAAUGGAAAGCCUGUGACCUCUGACCUUUGUUUUCCAAAGACAGUUUUCUUUCAUUCCACUGUAAAGAACAACACAAUCAGCUCUCUCUUCUUUUUCCAGAGGCAUUCAUUUUACCAGCGUGAAUAUUUCAAGGUUGGGAAAAUUAGCUGAAAUGUUAAAAGUGCAGCGUUACCUUUCAGACAACUUCCCGCUGACUUUAUCCACAAAGGGAAAGACUCAUACUAAUUACAAGCUCCCAAUGUGCUGACUGUCCAGAAUAAGUAGGAAAGGGCAUCUUUCUCUCUGCAGUUGCGUGAAGCAGCAACAGAGAGCCUCUCUGUGUGA